AUUGAACGCUGGCGGCGUGCCUAACACAUGCAAGUCGAGCGGUAACAGGUGUAGCAAUACAUGCUGACGAGCGGCGGACGGGUGAGUAACGCUUGGGAAUCUGCCUAUUAGUGGGGGACAACCCGGGGAAACUCGGGCUAAUACCGCAUACGCUCUACGGAGGAAAGCCGGGGACCGCAAGGCCUGGCGCUAAUAGAUGAGCCCAAGUCGGAUUAGCUAGUUGGUAGGGUAAUGGCCUACCAAGGCGACGAUCCGUAACUGGUCUGAGAGGACGACCAGUCACACCGGAACUGAGACACGGUCCGGACUCCUACGGGAGGCAGCAGUGGGGAAUAUUGGACAAUGGGCGAAAGCCUGAUCCAGCGACGCCGCGUGGGUGAAGAAGGCCUGCGGGUUGUAAAGCCCUUUCAGUGGGGAAGAAAAGCCUCGACCUAACACGUCGGGGUCUUGACGUAACCCAUAGAAGAAGCACCGGCUAACUCUGUGCCAGCAGCCGC
rnacentral:rRNA from 1 species